UGUCGGAAGCCACAGGGGAAAAUGGUGGAAAAUUCACCGUCGCCAUUGCCAGAAAGAGCGAUUUAUGGCUUUGUUCUGUUCUUAAGCUCCCAGUUUGGCUUCAUACUUUAUCUCGUGUGGGCUUUUAUUCCUGAAUCUUGGCUAAAUUCCUUAGGCUUAACCUAUUGGCCUCAAAAAUACUGGGCAGUGGCAUUACCUGUCUAUCUCCUUAUUACUAUAGUCAUUGGUUAUGUGCUUUUGUUUGGAAUCAACAUGAUGAGUACCUCUCCACUCAACUCCAUUCAUACAAUCACAGAUAGUUAUGCUCAAAAUCAACAGCAGAAGAAAUACCAAGAAGAGGCCAUUCCAGCAUUAAGAGAUAUUCCUAUUAGUGAAGUAAACCAAAUGUUCUUUCUUGCAACCAAAGAACUUCACACUAAAAGCUGAAUUGCACCUGUAAUGUGCUGCCAGGAUUGAGAAUGACUGCCUUAUGUGAUUGGACUUAACUGAGCUUGUGGUCAAGCAGGGCAGUAGCUGUCCACUUCAGAAGAGAAAGCCAGCAGCUGUCUGAGCAGUUCUGUCCCCUUCUUGAUGAGACUCCUGGUCACAUCGGCAGUAUUUCCUUGUCUCCCCUAGGACCAGCAAUGGGCCUGAGACUUGAAAACAGAUGGAGAUACCCACCUCGAUUAUCCUGAGGGUUGAAUCAGGCAGAGUGAGCGAAACCUCUGGAAGUCACAAAGCCUGAUCCCGGGUCUCACUGCUUCUCCCUGCUCAUUCCCUGGCCCCAGCCAGCACCCAGGGACUUGUUUGAUUCAUCUUGGUUGCCCAGUGCCUAGCAUAUCAGGAAUCAUCAGAAGUAGUUACCAUUAAAUUGUUUCGACCGUCCAAUAAGAGAGGCCAUCUUGGACAUCAGAGAGGACCACACACCAGGAGCAGAUGCAUGGCACAUUUAAAAGCUGCGGCCCAACCAUCCCAGGUAGACGCAAACAUGCUCAGCUCUGUAGAAGAAGAAAUACCCAACGGCAUCACCCCAGAACUGCCUGAGGCAACAGACACCCCCGUUAGACCCUCAGCUGCGGCCACCUGCCAAGGACGGCCACCAGAAGAGCCACGUGAGAAGAGUCCAGCAGUUGCAAGGGCUGUGGCAGCAGUGACAGCACCGUCCCCCCAUUCUGCACACCAGUAGGCAUUUGCCCAGGCCUGGCGUGGGGAGAACCUGUAAUCUCUAAGCCCUGUCUGGCUCCAGAUCCUUCCUGCCCUCCCCACUGCUGUCAAGACAGCAGGUGGCAGUGUGGAGAGAACUGUGACACGAAUGUCUACUUGGGGAAAUGCUUAGACACCUGGAGACACCUGGAGUCAUGCUCUGUUCCACCUUUGGGGUUAUCCCUCAGGUUAACACACAGCUGUGGGGUUUGUGCUCCUCCCUUAGCAUCCUGUGGCAGGGCCACUUCUCCUGAAUGCCACCCACAGAGUCCUGGGGACUCGGAUUCUGGUCCCCAAGCGUCCCCUAUGAGAGUUGAGCAAGUUACCAAUCACUUGCACUUUGGUUUCUUAUGGGGAUAAUAAUGAUAGUUACAUUGUGCAGCUGUUGAGAGGAUGAAAUGAGCAAAAUGACUAGACUAGCACCUGAUGCAUAGUCAGGAUUCAGUAAGUGUUAUAUCACACAAUUAUAAAACUAUUAUUGUUGUUGUUGAAAAGAUGCACAGAUCUCUCAUGCAACCCAGGGCAGGAAGGCAGCUGGAUAUCAGAAGUGCAAAGGAAGCAAGAACGAGCGAACCAACAGGACUCUCAGCGGCUCAGCUCUGCGCCUCCAAACAACCACGUCUGUUUCGUUUCAUGUCUUCCUACAGAUUAGCUUUCUCUGCUCCCCAGUCCGACACGGCCAAGUGUGGCUAUCCACCCCAGCUCCUACACACCCAUGUUAUAGGCCCGGCCAUGUUCCCAGGUUGGCUUCCCUUGUGGACCGGGGAGGGGGGAUGGUUCCCAAAGAAGAGAGAAAUAAUUGGGUCAUAUGCCCUAAAAGGGGUCUGUGACAAAACAAACGAGAGCAUUAAUAGGGAUUCUUCACAGGCCACUUCAAAAUGACAAUUGAAUUUCUGUCCUUUCUGGAGAAGUUGCAAAAGCAAAAACCUCUUAUAAGCUUGGCUAUCACUGCCAAUAUAGAUAAAGCGGGGUACUUCUUUGACUAAUACAAAACAAUGUUUUCUUUUAUUGGGACCCGAAUUUUGAAGAGAUUGUGCUCCAAAUAACAACCAGGUCAGAUGGUGAUAAGGAAAAGAUGCAGCCGUAAUCCCUGGGGCCUUUGCUAUUCAGAAGCUCUUUGGAAAUUUGUAAUGUUACUUUUACUGUACCUAAUGUUAUCUUCUUGUCACACAUUAAAUGUUUUGUUGAAUAUAUGAAACCAAGACAAAAAAGACCGUUGUGAUAGCUUUUCUGAGGUGACGUGUUUGGUGAAGUUCAGAUCAUACUGACAAGUCCUUUGAGUAAUUAAAAUAACUGACAAAUGAAA